GACGAACGCUGGCGGCGUGCUUAACACAUGCAAGUCGAACGGAAAGGCCCUGCUUUUGUGGGGUGCUCGAGUGGCGAACGGGUGAGUAACACGUGAGUAACCUGCCCUUGACUUUGGGAUAACUUCAGGAAACUGGGGCUAAUACCGGAUAGGAGCUCCUGCUGCAUGGUGGGGGUUGGAAAGUUUCGGCGGUUGGGGAUGGACUCGCGGCUUAUCAGCUUGUUGGUGGGGUAGUGGCUUACCAAGGCUUUGACGGGUAGCCGGCCUGAGAGGGUGACCGGCCACAUUGGGACUGGGAUACGGCCCGGACUCCUACGGGAGGCAGCAGUGGGGAAUAUUGCACAAUGGGCGGAAGCCUGAUGCAGCAACGCCGCGUGCGGGAUGACGGCCUUCGGGUUGUAAACCGCUUUCGCCUGUGACGAAGCGUGAGUGACGGUAAUGGGUAAAGAAGCACCGGCUAACUACGUG
rnacentral:rRNA from 1 species